UACAGAGGUCCCAAGCGUUGUUCGGAUUCACUGGGCGUAAAGGGUGCGUAGGCGGUCGGGUAAGUCUGAUGUGAAAUCUCACAGCUUAACUGUGAAACUGCAUUGGAUACUAUUCGGCUUGAGAGUUGGAGGGGGGACUGGAAUUCUUGGUGUAGCAGUGAAAUGCGUAGAUAUCGGGAGGAACACCAGUGGCGAAGGCGGCGACCUGGGCCUGGGCUGACGCUGAGGCGCGAAAGCGUGGGGAGCGAUCCGG
rnacentral:rRNA from 1 species